rnacentral:Y_RNA from 1 species
AGUUGGUCCAAGGGUUGUGGGUUAUUGUUAAGCUGACUUAACAUUGUCUCCUCCCACAACCACGCUUAACUAGCUUUAA